rnacentral:lncRNA from 1 species
AUAGGAUGCAUGGGACAAUUUCAAUAUUUUUGUAUAUGUUGAGGCUCAUUUUGUGAUCAAUUAUGUGGUCAAUUUUGGAGAAGGUACCAUGAGGUGCUGAGAAGAAGGUAUAUCCUUUUGUUUUAGGAUAAAAUGUUUAAGACAGGACUUUUUAAAAGACUAAUCAUUCAUUAGAUUUAUCCAUUUUACUUUUGUAUGAAAUGCUUUGCCCGUGUGGUUGGUGCUCACAGAAGUGAGAAAAAAAGCAUUAGGUCCCCUGGAACUGGAGCAAUGGAUGGUCAGGAACCACCACAUGGGUGCUGGGGAUGAAACCCAUGUCUUCUGUAAGAAUGACAAAUGCCAUCUCUGCUGACCUUUACGCAGGCUUGUUCUCUCUUCACUCUUUGACAGAAAGUCUUGAAAUGACAAAUGUUCCAGAAGAAUGUUUUUCUCCUUUGGAUCUUUUCUUUAAAAAUGUGAAAAAAAAAAUGAAGACCCUAAGUUGGUUGUUGUUCUGUCAUGCACUGAGCACUUCUGUGAAGCAGAGGUGACAAAGCUGAGAAAACCCAUUUCCGCUCCCACGGCUCCCACUGAUACAUGGUUAGUGUGAAUUUCUAGGAAGGAGAGUGACAGCGAUGAACUUCCAAGUGGCUCAGAGAGGACCAGCAAGCCUAUUAUCUCUGUGAUCUAACUGAUGCCGUGGCUAUGCAGAACAGUGGCGUGCCAUGUUUAUGUGAGUGGGACCCUCUACUUAGGCAGAAUGAUACUUCUUUCAAUUCCUAAGUUGCUAGUUUAAAACAUCCAGUUAUAAAAUGAGAACACGAGAAAACUGCUAAGUUGUUGGGAUUUCUCCCAUGAUGCUCUCUUUCCUGAUGCUACCACAAUGUGGCAUAGAGUCUCUUCUCCCACCUCUGACCACAGCUUCCUGGAUGUCGUGAUCAUGGAAUUUAGUGUCAGUCUGACUGGAUGGAACAUUAUUUAUGGACGUGAACAUGAGGAAUUUCUAAGAAAACUGGUAUGUGGUUGCCUGGGCUCUGUGCAAGGCCCACUCUUAACAUGGGUGGACAUCAUACAGCCAGCAGGAGCUGCAUGGAACGAACAGAAAAAAAAUGAGAUUUUCUCUGUGACUCUGCCAGGACAGACACACCCUUCUUCUGUCCUUAGACAUCAGAACUCCAGGUCUGCUAGACUCUAGAAUCUGGGUUGUGGACUUGGGCUGGGUCAUCAGGUCUCUAGCCUCAGACUGAGACUUGUACAAAUGGCUUCCCUGGUCUGUGCCUUUCAGACACAGGCUGAGCCAAACUACCAAAAUUGCAGAGCUUCUUCCCUGAAGAAAGCCUGACGUGGCAAUGCUUAGGCCAGUUCUCCUAAGAGCUGUUGGCCCAGAGGAACUUCACUUAGAUUUCAAAGGGUGCUGCAGUCAGUCUCAGGGCCAACACAGAGACUGUCUCAAGAGAAACUCUUCACACAGAGUCUCUAAGGGGCAGUGUAGGAGUAUGGCAAUCUAUUGAGAACCAGAAACUACGUGCUGAUCAGUGUCCAUCUGCAGCCUGGAAAAGCUGCAGUCUUGAGACCUCAACUGCGAGAACAUUGGGUGUUCUCAUGGACAGAGUGCUGCCCUGGCCUGGUACCUCUUGCUUAUUUCUCCCUUCUGAAUGGAACUGAGCAGUUUUCUCUUGAACCUCCAUUGGAUUUUGCAAGUGUGAAAACUGCCCAGUGCACAGGCUCAAGGCCAAAGAAUGCUCACUGUAUGAUUCUUAACCUAUGUCUGGAAGUGUGUGGAUUGCUGACUUCAUGAGGACCUCUACACGAGAUUUUUCCAAGUCAGAACUCAGUGGUGACUUCCCUGGGCUUGUUAGCAUGGUGUUCUCUAUUGCCAGAGAGGCUGCUGUUGAUAUGCUGGAGGAGUCCUCUAGAAUAACACUUGUCCUUCCUGGAAGGGUGAUGCCAAUAUGCUGGGAGCCACAGCUUUUAAAAUGAUCCUUUCCCUGGCCCAAGUUACAUCUUCACAUGCAUCUUCUAUAUCUUGUACCAGCAGUGGAUUGUUUGGGUGUUUUCUAUUUAGGGAGCUUUAGCCUUAGUGGAUGACCAUGUUGUAGUGAAGCCUACCUCCUCCCAGGGAUUUUCUGCAUCAGCAACCAUUGGCCUAGUUGGAUCAGAGUCUACCUUGAGGAAAUCCCUAGACAAAGCUGUUUAAAGUUCUUAAUAUCAGAGGGCAACAUCCUAGGCCACUUCCUCCUUUUCCUUCUUCUGCAGAGAGAAAGAAAAAAGUUUUAGGCUUAUAGUUCGUAUCUCAGAAAAGUCUUCUCAACACGGGUAUGUCCAAAGUGUAGCAGUGCUCUCUGGUUUGAUUUGCUCACACAGAAUCCAUGCUCUUUUGCAUACCCCAAGAACCAUGGAGCAUGGUCACCAUAUCCUUAUUAUAUAGCUGUCUUUAGGAACAGUGAAGGCUCAAUAUUUCCAUUGAAAUUUUGAAAUGCAUUGACCUCAUUGCAUUUUUGUGUGUUUGUGCAUGUAAGUAUGGAGCUCAGUCAUCAACUUUAGGUGUCAGUGUUUAGUCAGUUUUUCUGGGAGAAUCUUUCAUUGGAUUUGAAGCUCACCCCUUUGGUAAUGGUUGCUGGCCAGCACCUACACGGGAUCAGCCUGUCUCGUCCUUCCCAGUGCUGGGAUUACAGGUGUGCACAACUUUCCUGCUUUAUUUUUAUUAUUAUCAUCAUCAUCAUUAUUGAUACUUGGGUUCUGGGCCUACAGUUCAGGUCCUCACGUUGCCUGGAAAGCACAUUAUGGACUGACAGUCGCUCAGGUCCGCACCUUAUCCUUUCUGGAAGUCUUGAACCUUCACUGUAUCUGAUACAACGUUCAUCUAUAGUUCUUCUCUGUAACUUGGUUGAUAUAUGCAUUCUGUAUCCCAGGCAAGGCUGACAGGAAACAUUACACUUGCUGACUGGUAGUCUUUGGUGAAUUUGAACCAAAAAUAAAGCCUCCAAUGUUUUUCUGAUGCUCACUUCCAGGGACAUUUAAGAUAGCAUAAAAUAUCAAGUAUUAAACUCCUUUUACUUAGGGGAUGUAUAAUGCAGAACUGUUCAACCCUCUACUGACUAUCAACACCAACUUACAGAAUUCCUCAGCAAACAGCUAUAAAUUAGUAUGAACUUGCUGACUGUGUGUAUUCUUGCCUAGCUAGGGAGCAGUGCUGAGCACUACCUGCUUUUCCACAAGUUGAAACUGUUCCCAACAAGGUGCUGUGCAUACUGCAUAUGAUUGGGAAAGUCAUUGACUACAGAUAGGAUAACCACACUAAAUUUCUUGCUCAUUCCCUGUGAAAUACCUUAUGUUCUGGUGAGAGUGUUCACCGUGGCAGGUUUCUUGCUGACAGAAAGUUCAUAGAUGUUUGUCCUCAAGUUGCCUUAUUGAGAUACAAAGGAUGAAUCUAUAAGAAUUGUCCCCAUCAAUUCUUGUGCUUGACUAUUUUGAGGCACUGACCUGUGUCAUCAAAAUAAAUUAGUCCAUUAAAAGGACAGACUCCAUUGGUGCAGCACAAUCCAGUCACCAGGCACAGGCUGCAUAGCUGACAUACAAUCCUCUCGUCUCUGUCAUCUUUACACUGAUUUGCCUGCCAGGUGUAGCUCACACUCUGUUGUACUGAUUGAGGAGUUGGCUUUAAGGCUCUUGGCUUUAGGAAAAUGAUUUUCCCAGUCUGAGAUACAGCACUGAAAUGGCAAAUGGGAACAGUUCUAAUGUCAGAAAAGAAGAAGGAAGGGUGGGAGAGACAGCAGUGUCCCAUGUGCACGGAGCCCCCUGCCCUGCCGUCCUGCCUGUCUGUGCUGAACUGGAGAGGCAACACCAGCUCCUUUCUCCUACCCAGUGCUCAGGCCCUGAGGCUUUUGUCUCAGCAGCUCUGUGAUGCCCUGGAGACUUUAGGUCAGCCCCAGAGACAGGGAAGCCCCACACCGAGGAUGUUCUUUCUUGUCCCAGUGCUAACAGAUGUCUGAUAUUUGGUGUGCUUCCUCGUUUUCUCCACAAGGAGUCCAAAGGAACUCCAGAGUGAGUAAGAUGUACAGAAAUGUGCAGACAUCGACAUGAUGCCCUGAGGGGACGUGGCCUCUGCAUGCAGGGUUCUGGGGGUGCCUGGGGUGAGAAGAGGCACACCCUGAAAGCCCUUGUCUACCUAAUCUCCAUGCUGGAGAGAGAGAGAGAGACCUACCUUUUCAAAACCAGGCACUCAAAAGCAAACCUCAGCUAUCUUAGUGAUCCAGCCUGUCAAUCAGCACUUGGGAGGCUGUGGAUGGUGUUAGUGAACCACUAGAAGUUAGAGGAAACAGCCCUUCUCUUCUUCAAACCUGACAAUGAGGACUUUGGUUCUUCUCCUGCACUGUGACUGUGACUCAGUCACAGUGGAUCUCUGCUUAUACCAUAUUUUAGGGCAUUAGGUCAAAGGCAGGACAACCCUUCAGCACAGGCCAUGUCAAGAGACUCAGGUUUGUCAGAGCUAGGGACAUGGCACCACUGUCACCUAGUCAGAUGCUUCACCCAGGGGUGCUGCUAACCUUAACGUUUGGAUCGGGCACAGAACCAAACAGUAUUUCCUUCUUUGUCAGAACUGUGCCUGAGAAAGACUGAUAAGAAACUUGGCGUGUCGUGACUGAUGUACUGAUAAGAAACUCAGUGUGAUAUGACUGAUGUGCGUGUGUCUGUCUGGGAGGACACACGUGGGGCUGGGGAGAGUCCUUGUCUUUGGGGGGGGACGAAUAGAGAGGGAGGUUUAUUAUGAUUUAUGAUUUAUUACUAUUAUGAUCUCAAGAGACUGAGUUCUGUAAGUCUAAAUGAAAAACCAAAAAGAACCUAUGUUCUAGAAUGGAGCCUGAAAUAGAAGUCUUGGAACUCACUUUGUAGACCAGGCUGGCCUCGAACUCAGAGAUCCGCCUGCCUCUGCCUCCGGAGUGCUGGGAUUAAAGGCGUGCGCCACCACGCCCAGCCUGCAACUUUUUAGAUUAUAGAAUACUAGACACGUGGAAACCAGACACGACAGAUAGCUCUCUCAUGAUCUUCUUUUUAACCCACAUAGCCUUCUUGUUCUGGUGAAUCAUUUUCUGAGGACAGCCUACUCAAAAUGAUGAAAAGUCUGACUCAAGGAAAAGUCUUAAACUGAUUAGUCUCACAUAUAACAUGUGCUCCAAUGUCAUAUAGGUUCUGUGUGCCUACAGCAGUGGCUAAGAAGGAAACCUCUUCCCUAUGCCACUCUAAAGGCCCAUGAUGAGCAGAGGAAUCCGGGCUCUGUUACACACUGGCAGUGGUCCGACAACUGCCUGCCUGAGCAGAGAAAGGACAGUCAAAACCUUCAGCAGUGCACACACAGCCUGCUUAAUGGCCACUCCUUCUCAUGAACUUGCUGAGUCAUGACAACAUCCCCUUUGGUCCUUGUGUACUUGACCCCAGGGAGCUGUUCUGGGUGACAAUGCCAAACUCCCCCCCCCCCCCCCCCAUGAGCGACAGAGAGGAGCCUAAGCACUAGGGAAGCAUAAGUGGAGUAUCAGUCACAGGAAAGGAAAUGGAAACUGCAGGUUCUCAAGAUAAAAGUCUGUUAUUUAAGAGGAUGGCCUCUUCUGUUUUGCCACUUCUGUGGGGCGAAUGCUACAUGGAUGAUUGUUUUUCCAAGGCUUUCGUAGCAAGCACACGAAAAGUCUUGGUUGAAUUCGACUUUGGGGCCUUGCUGAGUAAAAAUCUUUACUUAUUCUUCUGGUGGCAUGCUGGUGUCUUGAUGAUCGGUUACAGAGAUUGGUCAUUCCGAGACAGAAAAGAGGGAGACAAUCUAACAUUCAAACCUGGCUCGCUCCAUCCCAGAAGUUUUAGCACAGAGUUCUAUCUCCAGCAUCUUACACUUGGUUUGGUGAUACAUUCUCAUAAUCCCAGUGUUGGGAAAGCAGGAGGAUUGGAAGUUCUUAGCCUUGGUUACAUAGCAAGUUUGAGGCUUUUUCUGUUUGAAGAGACCCUACCUUUAAAAGAUAAAAUUGUGAGAGGAAGGGAAGAAGAUAAGUUGGGCCUCUUAAUACCAAGGAGCAAUCGUAAAGUUUUUUGUCACUUUGAAAUAGAACACACUGUGGAUUAAACUUGAAAUAGGAAGCCUUGUGUGAGCACUCCUGAUUCAAAUGCAAUGUGUGGAAGGGUCAUUUCAUAAAAAUUGGAUGUUUAAACAUAUGAAUAUGCAGGUCCUAUUCUUUCUCCUCUCUGGGAGAUGCUGUGUGCCCUGCCCUGGUCCUCAGACUCUCUUCCAUCAGCUUCUGUAACAAGUUUUGGUCCAUAGUUCUAUCACUGAAUUUCAGCCUGCACUCUGUGUCUCCUUUUAUGUUGGGUCUGUGUUCUGCUGCUCUGCUGAAACUAUUGAUGGUUCUUAAGAACUUCCUGGUGGGGUCUGUAGGUGUCAAAUAAAGAAUCGUGUCCUCUGCAAACCAGAUCUCUGAUUUCUUGUUGCCUUUUCACUUCUGUCACUUACUGCGUAGACUUUACGUAGAAUAUUGAAUGUAGGUGGAGACAGUGAUGACUUUUUGUUCCAGACUUUAGUAAGGAUAGUUUGAUUUUUUUCUCAUUUAGUGUAAUAUUGGAUAUUGGUUUGUAAUACACAGUUGAUACAAUGAGAUAUGUUUCUUCUAUUCCAAGUUUCUCUGGGGCUAUUUAUCAUCAAGGGACACUGAAUUUUAUCAGUUUAGUGUAUAAGCUGAGAUGGCCACAUGAUUUCUGUCCUUGAGUCAAUUUAUUUGUGUCUCUGGGAUUUUUUUCUCUUGGAUUCUGUUUGCAAGUAUUUCAUGAGUAAUUUUUGCAUCUUUGUUCAUCAAUAAGUGAAAAAUCAAUAAUUUUCUUGGGUCACCUUUGGGUGAGUUUGUUCUUACCCUAAAUUGGUGAGUUAUGGUCGAUUUGAAGUAAAGGAUUGUGUUGUAGCAAUUUCCUCCAAGAUUAAAAUGUUCUAUUCUUCAGAGAAGCUCUUUGAGGGGGAAGUAAAUCCCAAAACAGCUUCAGGAAGUUCCUGAAACUGGUCCACAUUCACUAGCUCCCUCCCUCCCAAUAGUAAACAAUAAAGAUUGCCUCUCUCUGAAAAGCAAGACAACUGAGAUGAACCCAGAUGCCUGGAAAAACAGGAAAGCCAAGCAUCCAGAAAAUAAACAGACCAGCUAAGCAAAAGCAGCCUCAAAAAAAAAAAAAAAAAAAAAAAAAAAAAAAAAAAAGAAAAGAAAAGAAAGAAAGAAAGAAAGGAGGGAAAGUAGCAGAGAGCAACAGAGAUGAUGCCCGGAACAGAAUUAGGCCAACUAAACAAUCUGGAAUGGACACUCUUCAUUCUGCUGCAUCACCUGCAGGCUGUGCAGUAAGCUCCAACUUGCCAGCUUUUGUGAGCUAUCAGUGGGCUUUGAGUCAUUUCUGUUCCUGUAAUUAGCUACUCACCCAUAUUCCUGUAAGUGACCCCAAUAAAACUCAUUGAUUGGUUCACCAAGCUGGACUUUGGUUAUAUCCUUUCAUUUUUUAGUCAUGGGCUCCCUAUCUGUGGUAAAUAGACACUUGUUAAAUAGACAUGUCCUCAGGAAAAGUCUGUCAACAUUGUCGUCAUCUGAGAGGGACUCGGCAGAAUAGAAUCAAAGAUGAGCCGGGGAGGAAUGAGGGCGUUGUGCUGACUCUGGGGAGCAAGCCAUGCAACCUAGGCUAAGCAGCC